AUGACUUUGAUCUGCGUCCUCAUCUGGACUCUCCUCUGCUGCUGCUUCACAGAGUCCAGAGGUCAGGUCACAGUGACUCAGCCUGCAACAUUAAGAGCUGAUCUGGGAGGAUCUGUUACCAUCAGCUGUAGGACCGGUCAGAAUGUUUAUGUUUACAGCAACAACCACUAUUUAGCCUGGUAUCAAAAGAAAGAUGGUCAACCUCCAAAGCAGCUCAUUAAUCGGGCUAAAUAUCGAGACUCAGAAACUCCAAGUCGUUUUUCAGGCGGUGGAUCACACUCUGACUUCACUCUGACCAUCAGUGGAGUUCAGGCUGAAGAUGCUGCAGUUUACUACUGUCAGAGUUAUGACGGGCUCAAUGAGUUUGUAUCACUGUGGUGGACUUUUGGUGGAGGAACCAGACUGGAGGUUGGAAGUAAUACCCGUCCCACCGUGACAGUGCUGCCCCCCUCCAGUGAGGAUCUGCACCAGGGGAAGGCCACCCUCGUGUGUCUGGCCAACAAGGGCUUCCCCUCAGACUGGAGUCUGUCCUGGAAGGUGGAGGGCAGCAUUAACACCUUCACCUGGGAGGAGAACAAGAGCAAAGUAGUGCUGCAGAAUGACGGCCUCUACAGCUGGAGCAGCACCCUGAGGCUCCCUGCACACCAGUGGAAGAAGGUGGGCUCUGUGACCUGUGAGGCCACCCAGGGCUCCCAGACUGCAGUCACAGAGACACUGAGGAGAGACCAGUGCUCCCAGUCCUGAGUUCAUUCUGGUGUUCUU